UUUUUUUUUUCCAUUCUCAAAAUGACAUAAACCUGAAUAAAUUAUUAUGAAUUGUGUACUUUCUAACGAUAGCUUUUUGCAGUUAAAUUGAUUAAUUGUUACUAUCCAAUGCCAAAAUUAUUUUCUUGUGAUGACUGGGCAAUUGAGUUAAAAUUUUCUAAGAAGACCAAAGGCAAUCCACUCUGACACAAGGUGAAUAGUUUUAAGUUAAAGGUGACUUCCUUGCAGUAUCCAUGGCUGUCAUGAAAGUAGAUGUUAAAAUAUUAGAUCUAUGUACCCUCCUCUUACUUCAUAAAACAGAAUGAGUUACAUAGUUACAAUUUACAUGCCUCUUUAAGGGCAAGUACAAUGCCAGUGCUCAUCUGUACUGGGAUAGAGAUAACACUGGUAAACAAUGGAAUGAUAUUAUAAAAAGAAAAACAGAAAAACUGAGUUAGUAUUAGAGUUUAUAGAACUCAGAGAACGAGGCCAAUUCAUGCUACUCUGGAGAAUUCCAACCAGGUACAAACACACUCUUCUUAAGGAAAAAAAAAAAAAAAAACUGGGUUAUAAUUUAGUAAACUUGGCUUCUUGAGGUCUGAUGAGAUGAGCACAGGGAACCUGCUCUCUUAGCACAAUCACUAUUAACUGACAAAGUAGUAGAGAACAGGGUCUGUUUCCAUAAUACUCUCUUAAGCUAUUUGCUCCCAAUACCCUUUUAAGAAUAACUGAAAUAAACUACCUUCUCAAUUUUUCAUUUCAGUGCUAAAAUUUACUUUUAUAGUUUUCUAAGGAAGUUCACCAUGAGCAUUGAGUUUCAGAGGCAUGUUUAACUUUCUUAGGACAUCUCAUGAGCCUUUUUCUUUUGUUUUUUCAUUGGAUGCAUAAAACCCCCAACAGAUACAGAAUAUACUCUUCUUUAAACACUUCUGUCUAAGGGACCUCUUCCCAUCUCCUAUGUAAUGACAGGGCAAAAAGACUGAGUCCUAGAUGCUCAUGGCCCCUGAUUAAGACCUGUGGUUGGGAGUUCAUGAGACUCUAUUUAAACCACCUGCUUAGAUGCCUCACUGAAAUCAGUGGGGGAUUUUUACUCUCUCAUGACACUGUAUAAAUGUUAGUUCACUAAAGGGAAAUGGUUGAGAGGGGACAGACGGAGAACUGUGAAGAAAUUAAAGGACCUUUAACGGAUUAAAAACAAAAAGCCAUUCUGCUCUCCAGGGUGCACAUUUAUUUAGCUAGAUUUGCUUAAAAGUAUUCUCAAGCCUCCAAGUUCAAUCGACCAGAAUGACUUUAAAACAUUUUUUUUCUGCUCCAUUGGAGAGAUAUGCCUUUACAUGAUUAUUUUAAUGACAAUUAUCUAUCAGGUAAUUGAAACGUAAAGCUCAUAUAUAAGUAUGGCAGAACCUGUGAAUUUUGUAAGUCAAAUGUCUCCAGGGUAUUUUAAAAAGCACUUUGGCUACAUUUUUAAAUCUAACCACUCCAACAGACAUGAGAGUUAUUACUCUUGGGCAAGAUUCAAAAGAAUUGGUAAAGUUAAAAAGAAUAAUUUUCUGAAGUAUUUUUGACAGCAAUUAAUUUCACAGGGGAUACAUGCAUUUCCUAAAUCUCCAGGAAAAUUUUUUCUUCACUGUAUAACAAGAUGCACUUUUUGAAGAGAUUCUUUCACUAGAAUGUAUAAUGAUCUGAACUGUAGAAGAAAUAUAAUUAAGUGGACUCAUUACUAUUUCUUUUAAUAAGGUAAUUUAAUUGCAUUUUCCCCAAAACACAGAAAAUGUACAGUUAUUGUUCAGGCCUAAAAGAAUUAAUCAACCUAAGUGUCCAUCACU
ensembl:lncRNA